GGCCUGGUGGCCAAGUGGUAAGGCGUCUGUCUCGUAAACAGAAGAUCAAGGGUUCGAACCCCUUUCAGGCCU